CGGAUGGGCAUGCGGCGCAUUAGCUAGUCGGCGGGGUAACGGCCCACCGAGGCGACGAUGCGUAGGGGUUCUGAGAGGAAGGCCCCCCACACUGGUACUGAGACACGGACCAGACUCCUACGGGAGGCAGCAGUGAGGAAUAUUGGUCAAUGGGCGCGAGCCUGAACCAGCCAAGUCGCGUGAGGGAGGACGGCCCUACGGGUUGUAAACCUCUUUUGCCGGGGAGCAACGGGCGUCACGUGUGGCGCCACUGAGAGUACCCGGAGAAAAAGCAUCGGCUAACUCCGUGCCAGCAGCCGCGGUAAUACGGAGGAUGCGAGCGUUAUCCGGAUUUAUUGGGUUUAAAGGGUGCGUAGGCGGAUCGUUAAGUCAGUGGUCAAAUUGAGGGGCUCAACCCCUUCCCGCCAUUGAAACUGGCGAUCUUGAGUGGAAGAGAAGUAUGCGGAAUGCGUGGUGUAGCGGUGAAAUGCAUAGAUAUCACGCAGAACCCCGAUUGCGAAGGCAGCAUGCCGGCUUCCGACUGACGCUGAAGCACGAAAGCGUGGGGAUCGAACAGGAUUAGAUACCCUGGUAGUCCACGCGGUAAACGAUGAGCGCUAGGUGUCCGG
rnacentral:rRNA from 1 species